ensembl:snRNA U6 U6 spliceosomal RNA
GGGCUCACUUUGGUAACUCACACACUAAAACUGGACCUCUGUCAAGAACAUUAGUGUGGUCCCUGCACCAAAGAUGACAUGCAAGUUUGUGAAGUGUGCCAUAUUAAA